AGUUACAUGGGCCAUGCCUCAGCUAACAGAUAGAUCAAAGCUACCAAACAUUGUGGAUCCAGCAAUUAAAAAAAUAAUGGAUUUGAAACAUUUAUACCAAGUGGCAGCUGUUGCUGUGCUUUGUCUUCAACCUGAACCCAGUUAUCGCCCUCUGAUAACUGAUGUCCGUCACUCUUUAAUUCCUUUAGUACCUGUAGAGCUCGGGGGUACACUUAGAGUUUCUGACCCAUCCAGGAGUCCAAAAGUUUAGUUCUGACUGAAUAAAUAUUGUCCCUGUUGGAAACAUGCAUCUGAGUAUGGUGUUCAGAAUGAUCGUUCAUAAUGAACCUGCAAAAUAUAGGAGAGCUCAUUUGCUUCAGAGGAAAAGUCCUUUUCCUGAAUUGUUGUUGUAAAAAGGAAAAAAAAAAGAGUCCUAAGGGGGUUGCUCUUUUGCUCCUUAAUGUUAUAUUUGUAAAUACACGGUUUUAAGACAUUUGCUGGGAGGAAAAUUUUGGAGAAAUUUAGCCAACUUUUGAUAAGAUUGGUAAUUAAUGAGUUUA